GGCACAGCCCUUGCUGCACUUUCGCAAAGGGUGAUCCAACGGCGGAUCGCCUACCGACAAUGGCGUCGC
rnacentral:ncRNA from 1 species